ACUCCCGCCCGCCUACCUGCAGAGCCCUAGCUCCGUCCCUGCACAUCGGCCGAGAGGAGCCGCAGCGCGCGGUCGGCGGUGCUCGGGGAAGCCUCCCGUUGUCUUUCAGGGCCACCCGGGGAGCUCUCCUGGAUUUUACUGCAGAAAGUACGGUAAAGGGCCAUGUGGAGAGAGAAAAGAGAAACGAAGGAGGUGCUGAUUCACAGGUCUUCUGAUCAAAAAAACCUGCACAGGUGCUGUACUCAAGGAACUACAGCAGACAAGCCUCAUGUGUACCUAGAUCUGAUCUGGACGACAAGAUCCUGGGUUUUGGACUGAUAUUGUAAAGAGGUCACUUGCUCUGGGGGAAGCUGGCUGCCAGGUUAUAAGGGCACUUAAGUAGCCUAAUACAGAGGCCAACACAGUGAGGGACCAGCCAACAGCCAUGUGAGUGACCCAUCUUGGAAGGACAUCACCCAGACUCAGCCAAACCUUUCAGAGACUAAGCCCCUGGCAACAUUUUGACUGCAACCUCUCCAGAGACCCUGGCCAGAACCAUUUAAAGAAGCUGUUCCCAAAUUCUUAACUCACAGAAACUUUGAGACAAUAAACGUUUGUGGUUUUAAAGAG